UCAGUACUGAAGAAAAACAAACAAACAACAAUCAAAACCAAAACAGAAUUGCUAGGCCGGGGGAAGAACAUUUGUUUGCUGUGCUAAUGAAAUCUAAUCUCAUUGACCCAGCAGACAUAACCAUAGCAGUGAGAACUUUAAUGGCAAGACAAAGGACCUGAACAAUACCACACUUUGGCAGGAGGCCAGGAAUCAAAGCUCUGCAGAAUGGAUUGGGAGCAACAGACAGGUUGACCUCUGUUCUGUGGGCUCUUAAAAAAAAUCAGCAAUACAAUAUGCGAAUGAACACAACAUGCCUUCAAGUAAGCAUCCUGAAAUACCAUGGCUUUCCUUGGGACUAGGGAAGAGCAGAGUAGAAUCUCCAUUAGGAAUCAGUAAUAAUUCUGGAUGGAAUCCAAAAUGUGCAAUUUCCCCCUGACCAUUUCAGGAAGGUCAGUAGAACUGUAUUAAAAGUGAAUUCAGUUUAUGGUAUCUUAUAAACAACCACCAGCAGGCAUCAGUGCCCUGAGCAGCUUGAGGUACUGUCUUUUUUUUCACUUGGAGUAGUAAGUCUGACUCCUAUUGAUUCCCUUACGGGCUUCAAUGGGGAUGAGAGAGUGUUUGUCAGCGCUAAAGGUGCAAACCUUUUAAAUGCCAGAAUGAAAUCUCUGCAGCCUCACACACGGGACUGUUAGAAACACUGCUGCAGACUUGUCCCUUAGCUUGUGCUAUCACUCUGUGCUCCUGGAAGAAGCUUAAAGAGGGCUUUAAAAGCAGCUCUCUGAAAGAUCUCACACGUGCCAUAUGGCUGGGUAUUUGUAAUGUUUUCUGUCUCACGCUCUCGUCCUAAACUGCUGUGGAGUUGAACUAUUUGCUCUAUUCUGUCUGCCGUAUUUUAGUAAAGAUAUAAUUGUAAUCAUAUAAUUAGAGU